rnacentral:rRNA from 1 species
GCGAUCAUACCAGCACUAAUGCACCGGAUCCCAUCAGAACUCCGAAGUUAAGCGUGCUUGGGCGAGAGCAGUACUAGGAUGGGUGACCCCUUGGGAAGUCCUCGUGUUGCACCU